rnacentral:rRNA from 1 species
UGGGGAAUCUUCCGCAAUGGACGAAAGUCUGACGGAGCAACGCCGCGUGAGUGAAGAAGGUUUUCGGAUCGUAAAACUCUGUCUUUUGGGGCGAACGUGAGUAUGGUGAACAAUCAUAGUCAGUGACGGUACCAAAGGAGGAAGCCACGGCUAACUACGUGCCAGCAGCCGCGGUAAUACGUAGGUGGCAAGCGUUGUCCGGAAUUAUUGGGCGUAAAGAGCGCGUAGGCGGGAUAGUCAGUCUGUUGUAAAGUGCGGGGCUCAACCCCGUGAUCGCAAUGGAAACAGCUAUUCUUGAGUGCAGGAGAGGAAAGUGGAAUUCCCAGUGUAGCGGUGAAAUGCGUAGAUAUUGGGAGGAACACCAGUGGCGAAGGCGACUUUCUGGACUGUGUCUGACGCUGAGGCGCGAAAGCCAGGGGAGCGAACGGGAUUAGAUACCCCGGUAGUCCUGGCCGUAAACGAUGGGUACUAGGUGUGGGAGGUAUCGACCCCUUCCGUGCCGGAGUUAACGCAAUAAGUACCCCGCCUGGGGAGUACGGUCGCAAGACUGAAACUCAAAGGAAUUGACGGGGGUCAUAGCUGUUUCCUG